UAUUAAAUUAUGUACAUUUAUGGAGAUUAAAUAUAGGGCUAUAUAGUAAUUUGAAAUUGUAAAAUGUCAAAAAAAAAAUGUUUUUGUGUUUUUAUGCAAGAUGGUAAUGUGCGGUUGGGCAUUAUCAUUCGUCAGUGUUACGACAAACGCACAGAUGGAAACGAAAAUGACGAACAUGAAAUAGACAAACCACAAACAGAAAUAAAAGAGAAUACAUAGAUUUACGUGAAAAUUUUUUUGCAGGAAAAAAAACCACGGGCGAGGGAUGAGAGAAUUUCACUAUCGAAAAAAGGGAAUGCAAUGUUCAAGGUACAACCAGCAUCAAUCUGUCACCUCUAGGACAAAAACAAAAAAAAAACUCUUAACGGGCUUAUCGGCCCGAGUCCUCCGCUACCCACCACAGGCAUUUAUUUUUCGUUCACAAUUUUAUUUCAAAAGCCGUACCGCGAAACUGCCGGCGAGUCAAAGUUUAGAACUGGAAUCGAUUAUCAAUUUCGAGUCAUAUCUAACGGUCAGAAAGAAUAUUUAUUGCAAAUAAGUCAUCAAGUAAGAGAGAGAGAGAGAGAGAGAGAGUUAAUAUAUAUUUUUCGGCCUGUUUCUUAUUAGAUUUAUCUUUUAGUUUAUAUGAUAUCAGAAUCAAUUUCAAGCUUCUUCAUUUUGUGAGGUCGUGGAUUCAUUCUUCACUUUUUAUACUUAACGUGUAAAAUUUUCACGCACCGAUGCAUAUUAGUGAAAGUGUUAAUAUAUAUUUGUUGAUCGUGACU
rnacentral:lncRNA from 1 species